rnacentral:rRNA from 1 species
GACGAACGCUGGCGGCGUGCCUAAUACAUGCAAGUUGAGCGAUGAAGAUUGGUGCUUGCACCAAUUUGAAGAGCAGCGAACGGGUGAGUAACGCGUGGGGAAUCUGCCUUUGAGCGGGGGACAACAUUUGGAAGCGAAUGCUAAUACCGCAUAACAACUUUAAACAUAAGUUUUAAGUUUGAAAGAUGCAAUUGCAUCACUCAAAGAUGAUCCCGCGUUGUAUUAGCUAGUUGGUGAGGUAAAGGCUCACCAAGGCGAUGAUACAUAGCCGACCUGAGAGGGUGGUCGGCCACCUUGGGACUGAGACACGGCCCAAACUCCUACGGGAGGCAGCAGUAGGGAAUCUUCGGCAAUGGACGAAAGUCUGACCGAGCAACGCCGCGUGAGUGAAGAAGGGUUUCGGAUCGUAAAACUCUGUUGGUAGAGAAGAACGUUGGUGAGAGUGGAAAGCUCAUCAAGUGACGGUACCUACCCAGAAAGGGACGGCUAACUACGUG